UCUGCACACUGCUGAGUUAGCUGAUUUGUAGCUAUAGACUUCAGUUUAACUUCAUUAGUCUUUAGCUUUUCUAUUUCAUUACCCAUACUGUCCACUUUCAUUGAAAGCGUAGUUAGGGUGUUGAAUAUUUUUUCUAGAGUAUCCUCUUCUAUUAUAUCAGUCUGUGUAGCUUUGUCUUGAUAUGUAAUCUGCAAUAACAUUUUUGUUAGUACUAAUUACUUCAAUUAUAAAUGUGAAAUUUAAUAUAUUCA
rnacentral:lncRNA from 1 species